UCUCUUACUAGAUGAUCACUCGACAACUAUAUUUGUACCGAACAACGAUGCAUUCAAGAAGGUCAGUCAACCUGUCUUGGACUACCUCAACAGUCAUCCAAGUGAUUUAGCAGAGGUGCUCAAAUACCACGUGAUCAAACAGUACUCCCUGUACAGCAUUGGUAUGGCCCACAGUUUAAGCCUUCCGUCCGGGGACCAACACAAGGACUACCUGAUGAUUCUCCAGGAAUCAAAUGGAGACCUGAAGGUCAACUCAGCCAAGAUCUUGGAGAAAGACAUUAGCUCUGUGAACGGAGUUGUCCACAUCAUUGACACUGUCCUGAUCCCACCACGUGUUACUGUCGCCAUAGAAGACCAGGGGGUUAUAGUUGGUUGAUGUAACCUUGGCAGCAUGGACACCGGAAAUGAAACACUUUACCGCAAACCAAAGACGCAGUAUUAAGUAUUAUUCGACAAGUAGAACAAUUCGUCACGUUUGCUUUCUGUUUGUAAUAAUAAAUCCCUCAAUGCCUUUACUGGUUACAGUGGACAUUGUUGGAUAGUUUACCUUUAAUGUAAUCAAAUGCAAUGAUUGUAAAAUAAAAUAUUUGGAAUAUA
rnacentral:sRNA from 1 species